rnacentral:rRNA from 1 species
UACGGAGGGUGCAAGCAUUAAUCGGAUUUAUUGGGCGUAAAGGGCUCGUAGGUGGCCAACUAAGUCAGACGUGAAAUCCCUCGGCUUAACCGGGGAACUGCGUCUGAUACUGGAUGGCUUGAGUUUGGGAGAGGGAUGCGGAAUUCCAGGUGUAGCGGUGAAAUGCGUAGAUAUCUGGAGGAACACCGGUGGCGAAGGCGGCAUCCUGGACCAACACUGACACUGAGGAGCGAAAGCCAGGGGAGCAAACGGG